AUAAGUAUCUAACAUUUAAAUUUUAACUCAUCACAAUUUAAAUGAUUUUUGGAUAUUAUGGAGUUGAUUUUGAAUGCCAUUGCAGGGUUUGGCAAUUAAUCAAUAGAGGCCCGUCUUAGCUAUUGCGAAGUCAUAUUGCACAAGUUUCAAAGCCUAAUCUUGAAAGGUUCCAAUUAUUUUUCAAUCAAGUGCGGGGCCCACUACGACUGCAGGAGUCAAAGACCGUCCUCAACAAGGAAAACCAAGUUAAUUUAUAUAUGCAUCUGAUAAAGAGACCCCUGUGAAGCCGAGGUCACUGUGAAUGCUCAAUACCAAUCGUCCUCUUUUUCUCAGAGGAAUGUGUUCUGGUACUUAUUUAUGAAUUCAUGGAAUGCACGAUUUUAUAGAAUAAAUAUUAUUAAGAAAAUGAAUUCAAUAUUAGCUAUUUCUGUAUAUUAUGUCAGACCAAACUUAGAAAUUAAAAGAAGAGCUAAAUUUUU
rnacentral:lncRNA from 1 species